CCCUCAGAGCUCCGCAGGACCCAAGGGUUAGCUUAGAAUAGAAUGAUUAAGGAUUAAGAACAAAAUUGAACAAUCUUAUUUGCUAUCUUAUUGUGCUGCUAGUUACCAUCCUUGAGCAUUAUUCCUUUUUUUAAAACAAAACAAAAGAAAAAUAAGGGAAUCCUCCCUUUUAAAGAGAAAAGUAAAAGAAAACAAACAAAUGAGCAAGGCCUUUAGAGAGAAGGAGAACAGGGCCUCAAAAGGAAAGAGGUUGUAAGAAUAUAGAAUCUGAAGGGUUCACCAAGAAGGAAGGACUCGCUAACCGGAAGGAACUGCCAGAACAGAAGGACUCGCUAUUCUCUGUAUUCUCUUUGUGAUUUCGACUAUUCUAGCAGUAUGGUCUCGCCAGUAUCCCCCUGGCUGUUCAACUACACCUCUCCUUAGCAAUCUCUGGAAAUCCACACACACGUUCAGCGUCAUAACCGGCAUUCUCGUCAUCAGAUGCGAUUACCGAGAUCAAGCAUGAAGAAAAAAGAAAGCAUUAGUCCGGGGAGAUGCGUAAAAAGCGGCCUCCCACGGUGGGCCUGAAAAACUAAUACGAACAAUCCACAUGUCCCGGAGCCAGCGUUAUGUGUUCAUUUUUUUCUGCUGCACCCGCACUGCCACAAUCGAUUUAAGUUCCCGUUCUAUGUGUACAAGCGUUCCGUCCGACCGUAGUUGUUGAACUCGUCGACGAAUUUGUCAUUCGACUUCGCGGCAAAUUCUAUGUGUUUGCUAGGACUGCUUUGCCAACGACUCGAUAGAAGAUCUCGCAUCUUCACAAAUACGAAGGCAUUGUUUGGUCACUCCUCUCUCGUCUUUCAGAUCGAUGCUUACGUCCGAGGCAGAAGUGUUUUCGAAAGUAAUUCACUCUAUUUUCUCAUUGAUUUGCUGUAAAUGGACCUCAAGGUUAUACACUGUGUCCUGAAUCAUUUCAUUGUACUCUUGAAGAACUUGGUGGGAAACUGUUAGGACUGACUGAGAUUGUCGAUUUAUACCCUG
rnacentral:sRNA from 1 species